AUUGAACGCUGGCGGCAUGCCUUACACAUGCAAGUCGAACGGUAACAGGUUAAGCUGACGAGUGGCGAACGGGUGAGUAAUGUAUCGGAACGUGCCCAGUCGUGGGGGAUAACUGCUCGAAAGAGCAGCUAAUACCGCAUACGACCUGAGGGUGAAAGCGGGGGAUCGCAAGACCUCGCGCGAUUGGAGCGGCCGAUAUCAGAUUAGGUAGUUGGUGAGGUAAAGGCUCACCAAGCCGACGAUCUGUAGCUGGUCUGAGAGGACGACCAGCCACACUGGGACUGAGACACGGACCAGACUCCUACGGGAGGCAGCAGUGGGGAAUUUUGGACAAUGGGCGCAAGCCUGAUCCAGCCAUGCCGCGUGCGGGAAGAAGGCCUUCGGGUUGUAAAGCGCUUUUGUCAGGGAAGAAAAGGUUCUGGCUAAUACCUGGGACUCAUGACGGUACCUGAAGAAUAAGCACCGGCUAACUACGUG
rnacentral:rRNA from 1 species